AAACCAACAGGGAUUGCCUCAGUAACGGCGAGUGAAGCGGCAAAAGCUCAAAUUUGAAAUCCCCUUAACCCGGGAAUUGUAAUUUGAAGGUGGCUCUAAUAUCUUCUAGAAAACUUCCCUAAGUCCAUUGGAAAAUGGCGCCAUGGAGGGUGAUAGCCCCGUCUGGGUCCCAAGUUUCUAGUCGACCCUUAUUUAGAGCCUCCAAAGAGUCGAGUUGUUUGGGAAUGCAGCUCUAAGUGGGUGGUAAAUUCCAUCUAAAGCUAAAUAUUGGCGAGAGACCGAUAGCGAACAAGUACAGUGAUGGAAAGAUGAAAAGCACUUUGAAAAGAGAGUGAAAAAGUACGUGAAAUUGUUGAAAGGGAAGGGCUUGCAAGCAGACACAACCCACUCGGUUGGGCCAGCAUCGGGGGGAAGGGAGACAAAAAGGGAGAGGAAAUGUAACUCUCUUUAGAGCAUUAUAGCCCCCUCCUCACUUCUCCACCUCCUCCCGAGGCCUGCGAUUUAUUCUAGGAUGCUGGCGUAAUGGUUGCAAGUCGC
rnacentral:rRNA from 1 species